UACGGAGGGGGCUAGCGUUGUUCGGAAUUACUGGGCGUAAAGGGCGCGCAGGCGGCUGCUCAAGUCAGGCGUGAAAGGCCUGGGCUCAACCCGGGAAUUGCGCUUGAGACUGGGCUGGCUUGAGUGUGCUAGGGGUGUGUGGAACUUCCAGUGGAGCGGUGAAAUGUGUUGAUAUUGGAAGGAACGCCGGUGGCGAAAGCGACACACUGGGGCAUAACUGACGCUGAGGCACGAAAGCUAGGGUAGCGAACGGG
rnacentral:rRNA from 1 species